AACGAACGCUGGCGGCAGGCUUAACACAUGCAAGUCGAGCGCCCCGCAAGGGGAGCGGCAGACGGGUGAGUAACGCGUGGGAACGUACCUUUUGGUUCGGAACAACUCCGGGAAACUGGAGCUAAUACCGGAUAAGCCCUAACGGGGAAAGAUUUAUCGCCGUAAGAUCGGCCCGCGUCUGAUUAGCUAGUUGGUGAGGUAACGUCUCACCAAGGCGACGAUCAGUAGCUGGUCUGAGAGGAUGAUCAGCCACACUGGGACUGAGACACGGCCCAGACUCCUACGGGAGGGAGCGGUGGGGAAUAUUGGACAAUGGGCGCAAGCCUGAUCCAGCCAUGCCGCGUGAGUGAUGAAGGCCUUAGGGUUGUAAAGCUCUUUUGUCCGGGAAGAUAAUGACGGUACCGGAAGAAGAAGCCCCGGCUAACUUCGUG
rnacentral:rRNA from 1 species